CCUACGGGAGGCAGCAGUAGGGAAUCUUUCACAAUGGGCGAAAGCCUGAUGGAGCAACGCCGCGUGAAGGAAGAAGGCUUUCGGGUUGUAAACUUCUUUUCUCAGGGACGAAGCAAGUGACGGUACCUGAGGAAUAAGCCACGGCUAACUACGUGCCAGCAGCCGCGGUAAUACGUAGGUGGCAAGCGUUAUCCGGAUUUACUGGGUGUAAAGGGCGUGUAGGCGGGACUGCAAGUCAGAUGUGAAAACCACGGGCUCAACCUGUGGCCUGCAUUUGAAACUGUAGUUCUUGAGUACUGGAGAGGCAGACGGAAUUCCUGGUGUGGCGGUGAAAUGCGUAGAUAUUAGGAGGAACACCAGUGGCGAAGGCGGUCUGCUGGACAGCAACUGACGCUGAGGCGCGAAAGCGUGGGGAGCAAACAGGAUUAGAUACCCCGUAGUC
rnacentral:rRNA from 1 species